GCCUGUUCUGGAGGAGCAUUGAUAUUGACCGAGAUGGAUGCCAAAGACUUGCCCAAUCCGGUGAAUUCAGAUUCAGUCAAGAAGUAUUUUACCUGAAAAGGGAGAGGCCAAGGUGAAAACCCGCAAAGGGCACCUUGAGACAAAAAAAAUCAAAAAAAUUAAAAAAAAGAAGAGAAGAAAGAAAAAGAGGAGAGGCCAAGGCAAAAACUCGCAAAGGGCGCUUUGAGACCAAAGGGGUUUUGAGUUGAAACCCUGAAAAAGGCG
rnacentral:lncRNA from 1 species